rfam:Parcubacteria (Moranbacteria) bacterium GW2011_GWC2_40_12 TT79_C0002, whole genome shotgun sequence.
GCCGUGGUGCCGGAACUGGUAGACGGGCCAGCUUGAGGGGCUGGUGUCCAUUAGGGCGUGGGAGUUCGAGUCUCCCCCACGGCA